UACGUAGGGACCGAGCGUUGUCCGGAUUCAUUGGGCGUAAAGAGCUCGUAGGCGGCCACUCAAGUCGAAUGUGAAACCUCGAGGCUUAACCUCGAGCCUGCAUUCGAUACUGGGCGGCUAGAGUCUGGUAGGGGGAUCUGGAAUUCCUGGUGUAGCAGUGAAAUGCGUAGAGAUCAUGAGGAAGACCAGUGGCGAAGGCGGGUCUCUGGACAGUUCCUGACACUGAGGCACGAAGGCCAGGGGAGCAAACGGG
rnacentral:rRNA from 1 species